rnacentral:rRNA from 1 species
AGAGUUUGAUCCUGGCUCAGGAUGAACGCCGGCGGUGUGCCUAAUACAUGCAAGUCGAACGCGUUGGCCCAACUGAUUGGACGUGCUUGCACGGACUUGACGUUGGUUUACCAGCGAGUGGCGGACGGGUGAGUAACACGUAGGUAACCUGCCCCAAAGCGGGGGAUAACAUUUGGAAACAGAUGCUAAUACCGCAUAACAAUUUGAAUCGCAUGAUUCAAAUUUAAAAGAUGGUUUCGGCUAUCACUUUGGGAUGGACCUGCGGCGCAUUAGCUUGUUGGUAGGGUAACGGCCUACCAAGGCUGUGAUGCGUAGCCGAGUUGAGAGACUGAUCGGCCACAAUGGAACUGAGACACGGUCCAUACUCCUACGGGAGGCAGCAGUAGGGAAUCUUCCACAAUGGGCGCAAGCCUGAUGGAGCAACACCGCGUGAGUGAAGAAGGGUUUCGGCUCGUAAAGCUCUGUUGUUAGAGAAGAACGUGCGUGAGAGCAACUGUUCACGCAGUGACGGUAUCUAACCAGAAAGUCACGGCUAACUACGUGCCAGCAGCCGCGGUAAUACGUAGGUGGCAAGCGUUAUCCGGAUUUAUUGGGCGUAAAGCGAGCGCAGGCGGUUUGAUAAGUCUGAUGUGAAAGCCUUUGGCUUAACCAAAGAAGUGCAUCGGAAACUGUCAGACUUGAGUGCAGAAGAGGACAGUGGAACUCCAUGUGUAGCGGUGGAAUGCGUAGAUAUAUGGAAGAACACCAGUGGCGAAGGCGGCUGUCUGGUCUGCAACUGACGCUGAGGCUCGAAAGCAUGGGUAGCGAACAGGAUUAGAUACCCUGGUAGUCCAUGCCGUAAACGAUGAGUGCUAGGUGUUGGAGGGUUUCCGCCCUUCAGUGCCGCAGCUAACGCAUUAAGCACUCCGCCUGGGGAGUACGACCGCAAGGUUGAAACUCAAAGGAAUUGACGGGGGCCC